CUGCCUUAAAACCACUUUCUGGGCAGUUUUGAGUACCUAACACUAAUUUGGACGAAAUUGGACUAUAACUUGACUCAAAGCACUUAAAACACAAACUAAAUUGAUUUCUAACUAAUCUAACACUUUCAAAUCAAUGGGGGAAUGAUUUUGACGAAAAUUGAAACUUUAAAACUUAAACUUUGAAAAUAAACUUAAAGCAAAACAGAUUGUGAUGAAAUAGAAUGGUGAGAAACUAGUUAGAGGGUUCCUUAUCCACACAUGAACAUAUGCAUACAACUCGAUCUCCAAUUACUCUUUCAACAAA
rnacentral:lncRNA from 1 species